rnacentral:rRNA from 1 species
UGGGGAAUUUUGGACAAUGGGGGAAACCCUGAUCCAGCCAUCCCGCGUGUGCGAUGAAGGCCUUCGGGUUGUAAAGCACUUUUGGCAGGAAAGAAACGUCAUGGGUUAAUACCCCGUGAAACUGACGGUACCUGCAGAAUAAGCACCGGCUAACUACGUGCCAGCAGCCGCGGUAAUACGUAGGGUGCAAGCGUUAAUCGGAAUUACUGGGCGUAAAGCGUGCGCAGGCGGUUCGGAAAGAAAGAUGUGAAAUCCCAGAGCUCAACUUUGGAACUGCAUUUUUAGCUACCGGGCUAGAGUGUGUCAGAGGGAGGUGGAAUUCCGCGUGUAGCAGUGAAAUGCGUAGAUAUGCGGAGGAACACCGGUGGCGAAGGCAGCCUCCUGGGAUAACACUGACGCUCAUGCACGAAAGCGUGGGGAGCAAACAGG